UACGAGAGCCUCGAUCGUUAUCCGGAAUUAUUGGGCGUAAAGGGUGCGUAGGUGGCAAUGUUAGUCUUUUGUUAAACCCCCGGGCUUAACCUGGGAUCUGCGAAGGAAACGGCAUUGCUUGAAAGUGCGAGGGGUGUACGGAACUCAUGGUGUAGGGGUGAAAUCCGUUGAUAUCAUGGGGAACACCAAAAGCGAAAGCAGUACACUGGCGCAUAUUUGACACUGAAGCACGAAAGCGUGGGUAGCGAAUGGG
rnacentral:rRNA from 1 species